rnacentral:rRNA from 1 species
CCUACGGGUGGCAGCAGUGAGGAAUAUUGGUCAAUGGGCGUAAGCCUGAACCAGCCAAGUCGCGUGAGGGAUGAAGGUUCUAUGGAUCGUAAACCUCUUUUAUAAGGGAAUAAAGUGUGGGACGUGUCCUGUUUUGUAUGUACCUUAUGAAUAAGGCUCGGCUAACUCCGUGCCCGCAGCCGCGGUAAUACGGAGGAUCCGAGCGUUCUCCGGAUUUAUUGGGUUUAAAGGGUGAGUAGGCGGCCUUUUAAGUCCGCGGUGAAAGUCUGUGGCUCAACCAUAGAAUUGCCGUUGAAACUGGGAGGCUUGAGUAUGUUUGAGGCAGGCGGAAUGCGUGGUGUAGCGGUGAAAUGCAUAGAUAUCACGCAGAACCCCGAUUGCGAAGGCAGCAUGCCAGGCCAUGACUGACGCUGAUGCACGAAAGCGUGGGGAUCAAACAGGAUUAGAUACCCUGGUAGUC